rnacentral:rRNA from 1 species
CCUGAUUCCAUCUCGAACUCAGUAGUGAAACGAACAUGCGCCAAUGAUAGUGUGAGGUUUCCUC